rnacentral:rRNA from 1 species
AGGAUGAACGCUGGCGGUAUGCUUAACACAUGCAAGUCGAACGAAGUUUUCGGACUUAGUGGCGGACGGGUGAGUAACGCGUAAGAAUCUACCUAUAGGUUCGGGACAACAGUUAGAAAUGACUGCUAAUACCGGAUGUGCCGAGAGGUGAAAGUUUUAAUGCCUAUAGAUGAGCUUGCGUUCGAUUAGCUAGAUGGUGGGGUAACGGCCUACCAUGGCGACGAUCGAUAACUGGUCUGAGAGGAUGACCAGUCACACUGGGACUGAGACACGGCCCAGACUCCUACGGGAGGCAGCAGUAGGGAAUCUUGCGCAAUGGGCGAAAGCCUGACGCAGCAACGCCGCGUGGGGGAUGAAGGCUCUCGGGUUGUAAACCCUUUCAGUGGGGACGAAUCAAGACGGUACCCACAGAAGAAGCUCCGGCUAACUACGCGCCAGCAGCCGC